rnacentral:rRNA from 1 species
CAGCAGUGGGGAAUAUUGCACAAUGGGCGAAAGCCUGAUGCAGCAACGCCGCGUGAGCGAUGAAGGCCUUCGGGUCGUAAAGCUCUGUCCUCAAGGAAGAUAAUGACGGUACUUGAGGAGGAAGCCCCGGCUAACUACGUGCCAGCAGCCGCGGUAAUACGUAGGGGGCUAGCGUUAUCCGGAAUUACUGGGCGUAAAGGGUGCGUAGGCGGUCUUUCAAGCCAGAAGUGAAAGGCUACGGCUCAACCGUAGUAAGCUUUUGGAACUGUAAGACUUGAGUGCAGGAGAGGAGAGUGGAAUUCCUAGUGUAGCGGUGAAAUGCGUAGAUAUUAGGAGGAACACCAGUAGCGAAGGCGGCUCUCUGGACUGUAACUGACGCUGAGGCACGAAAGCGUGGGGAGCAAACAGGAUUAGA